rnacentral:rRNA from 1 species
AAAGGAAUUGACGGGGGCCCGCACAAGCAGCGGAGCGUGUGGUUUAAUUCGACGCAACGCGAAGAACCUUACCUGGGCUUGACAUGCACGUGGUACGACCGGGAAACCGGGAGGACCCGCAAGGGAGCGUGCACAGAUGCUGCAUGGCUGUCGUCAGCUCGUGCCGUGAGGUGUUGGGUUAAGUCCCGCAACGAGCGCAACCCUCGCUGCCAGUUACCAUGUCUGGCGGGACCGCCGGGUCCAACCCGGAGGAAGGUGGGGAUGACGUCAAGUCAGCACGGCUCUUACGUCCAGGGCUACACACACGCUACAAUGGCCGGUACAACGCGCAGCGAUGGGGCGACCCGGAGCGAAUCGCAUCAAAGCCGGUCUCAGUUGGGAUUGCAGGCUGCAACUCGCCUGCAUGAACGAGGAGUUGCUAGUAACCGCAGGUCAGCACACUGCGGUGAAUACGUUCCCGGGCCUUGUACACACCGCCCGU